UUAAGCGACUAAGCGUACACGGUGGAUGCCCUGGCAGUCAGAGGCGAUGAAGGACGUGCUAAUCUGCGAAAAGCGUCGGUAAGGUGAUAUGAACCGUUAUAACCGGCGAUGUCCGAAUGGGGAAACCCAGUGUGAUUCGUCACACUAUCGUUAACUGAAUACAUAGGUUAACGAGGCGAACCGGGGGAACUGAAACAUCUAAGUACCCCGAGGAAAAGAAAUCAACCGAGAUUCCCCCAGUAGCGGCGAGCGAACGGGGAGCAGCCCAGAGUCUGAAUCAGCUUGUGUGUUAGUGGAACGGUCUGGAAAGUCCGACGGUACAGGGUGAUAGUCCCGUACACCAAAAUGCACAGGCUGUGAACUCGAAGAGUAGGGCGGGACACGUGGUAUCCUGUCUGAAUAUGGGGGGACCAUCCUCCAAGGCUAAAUACUCCUGACUGACCGAUAGUGAACCAGUACCGUGAGGGAAAGGCGAAAAGAACCCCGGCGAGGGGAGUGAAAAAGAACCUGAAACCGUGUACGUACAAGCAGUGGGAGCACCUUCGGGUGUGACUGCGUACCUUUUGUAUAAUGGGUCAGCGACUUAUAUUCUGUAGCAAGGUUAACCGUAUAGGGGAGCCGCAGGGAAACCGAGUCUUAACUGGGCGUUAAGUUGCAGGGUAUAGACCCGAAACCCGGUGAUCUAGCCAUGGGCAGGUUGAAGGUUGGGUAACACUAACUGGAGGACCGAACCGACUAAUGUUGAAAAAUUAGCGGAUGACUUGUGGCUGGGGGUGAAAGGCCAAUCAAACCGGGAGAUAGCUGGUUCUCCCCGAAAGCUAUUUAGGUAGCGCCUCGUGAACUCAUCUUCGGGGGUAGAGCACUGUUUCGGCUAGGGGGUCAUCCCGACUUACCAACCCGAUGCAAACUACGAAUACCGAAGAAUGUUAUCACGGGAGACACACGGCGGGUGCUAACGUCCGUCGUGAAGAGGGAAACAACCCAGACCGCCAGCUAAGGUCCCAAAGUCAUGGUUAAGUGGGAAACGAUGUGGGAAGGCACAGACAGCCAGGAUGUUGGCUUAGAAGCAGCCAUCAUUUAAAGAAAGCGUAAUAGCUCACUGGUCGAGUCGGCCUGCGCGGAAGAUGUAACGGGGCUAAACCAUGCACCGAAGCUGCGGCAGCGACACUAUGUGUUGUUGGGUAGGGGAGCGUUCUGUAAGCCUGCGAAGGUGACCUGUGAGGGUUGCUGGAGGUAUCAGAAGUGCGAAUGCUGACAUAAGUAACGAUAAAGCGGGUGAAAAGCCCGCUCGCCGGAAGACCAAGGGUUCCUGUCCAACGUUAAUCGGGGCAGGGUGAGUCGACCCCUAAGGCGAGGCCGAAAGGCGUAGUCGAUGGGAAACAGGUUAAUAUUCCUGUACUUGGUGUUACUGCGAAGGGGGGACGGAGAAGGCUAUGUUAGCCGGGCGACGGUUGUCCCGGUUUAAGCAUGUAGGCUGAUUGUCCAGGCAAAUCCGGAUAAUCAAGGCUGAGGUGUGAUGACGAGGCACUACGGUGCUGAAGUAACAAAUGCCCUGCUUCCAGGAAAAGCCUCUAAGCAUCAGGUAACAUCAAAUCGUACCCCAAACCGACACAGGUGGUCAGGUAGAGAAUACCAAGGCGCUUGAGAGAACUCGGGUGAAGGAACUAGGCAAAAUGGUGCCGUAACUUCGGGAGAAGGCACGCUGGUGUGUAGGUGAAGUCCCUGCGGAUGGAGCUGAGACCAGUCGAAGAUACCAGCUGGCUGCAACUGUUUAUUAAAAACACAGCACUGUGCAAACACGAAAGUGGACGUAUACGGUGUGACGCCUGCCCGGUGCCGGAAGGUUAAUUGAUGGGGUUAUCCGUAAGGAGAAGCUCUUGAUCGAAGCCCCGGUAAACGGCGGCCGUAACUAUAACGGUCCUAAGGUAGCGAAAUUCCUUGUCGGGUAAGUUCCGACCUGCACGAAUGGCGUAAUGAUGGCCAGGCUGUCUCCACCCGAGACUCAGUGAAAUUGAACUCGCUGUGAAGAUGCAGUGUACCCGCGGCAAGACGGAAAGACCCCGUGAACCUUUACUAUAGCUUGACACUGAACAUUGAGCCUUGAUGUGUAGGAUAGGUGGGAGGCUUUGAAGCGUGGACGCCAGUCUGCGUGGAGCCAACCUUGAAAUACCACCCUUUAAUGUUUGAUGUUCUAACGUUGGCCCCUGACCGGGGUUGCGGACAGUGUCUGGUGGGUAGUUUGACUGGGGCGGUCUCCUCCCAAAGCGUAACGGAGGAGCACGAAGGUUAGCUAAUCCUGGUCGGACAUCAGGAGGUUAGUGCAAUGGCAUAAGCUAGCUUGACUGCGAGCGUGACGGCGCGAGCAGGUGCGAAAGCAGGUCAUAGUGAUCCGGUGGUUCUGAAUGGAAGGGCCAUCGCUCAACGGAUAAAAGGUACUCCGGGGAUAACAGGCUGAUACCGCCCAAGAGUUCAUAUCGACGGCGGUGUUUGGCACCUCGAUGUCGGCUCAUCACAUCCUGGGGCUGAAGUAGGUCCCAAGGGUAUGGCUGUUCGCCAUUUAAAGUGGUACGCGAGCUGGGUUUAGAACGUCGUGAGACAGUUCGGUCCCUAUCUGCCGUGGGCGCUGGAGAAUUGAGGGGGGCUGCUCCUAGUACGAGAGGACCGGAGUGGACGCAUCACUGGUGUUCGGGUUGUCAUGCCAAUGGCACUGCCCGGUAGCUAAAUGCGGAAGAGAUAAGUGCUGAAAGCAUCUAAGCACGAAACUUGCCCCGAGAUGAGUUCUCCCUGAGACUUUAAGUCUCCUGAAGGAACGUU
rnacentral:rRNA from 1 species